AAUAGAUACCCGGUAGUCCUGGCCGUAAACGAUGUCGACUAGAUCGUGGUUGCUCUGACGUAAUCACGGUCGAAGCAAAAGUGCUAAGUCGACCGCCUGGGAAGUACGGUCGCAAGGCUAAAACUCAAAGGAAUUGACGGGGGCUCACACAAGCGGUGGAGCAUGUGGUUCAAUUCGAAGCAACGCGCAGAACCUUACCUGGGCUUGACAUGCUAGGAUUAUCCCUAUGAAAGUAGGGUAGGCCCUUCGGGGUACAACUAGUACAGGUGCUGCAUGGCUGUCGUCAGCUCGUGUCGUGAGAUGUCGGGUUAAGUCCCUUAACGAGCGAAACCUUUGCCCUUAGUUACCAUCGGGUUAUGCCGGGGACUCUAAGGGGACUGCCGGUGUCAAACCGGAGGAAGGUGGAGAUGACGUCAAGUCCUCAUGGCCUUUAUGCCCAGGGCCACACACGUGCUACAAUGGCGUCCACAAAGCGAACCGAGAGCGCAAGCUGGAGGAAAUCGCACAAAUGACGCCCCAGUUCAGA
rnacentral:rRNA from 1 species